GGCAGAGUUUAUUGACAAAAUUGCAUGCAAUAUGAGGUUAUUAGAUGAAAAUGGAAGUUGUUUUGGAUGGAGAACGGUGAUCCUAGUUCUUGAAAGAUAAUAAUAUUGUACAUUUGAGGUGUUAUUUUGCUGAAACGACAUGGGUUGCAUAUGUUCUAAGAGGUCUAAAAAGAAAGAAUUAGACAAAGAAGGCUCACAAUUUGUGAUGUUCUAUGCCUAUGCACUGGAUCCUAAAGAG
rnacentral:lncRNA from 1 species